rnacentral:rRNA from 1 species
AUGUUGCAAGGCGGCGUCUGGUGCAUGCAUACCUCGGCCACAACACAACUCCCUCAUACGCUGCCGGCACUGAAAGCUGUGCUUGUUGAUGAUAAAAUUUAUAUGGCUGACGUCCUCAGUAAUGACAUUAUUGUCUUGGAUUUGGCGACCUCGAGUUUUUCCAGAAUUCUGCUCCCACAAGGAGUGAAGUAUCACACUCUUCAUGCCAUCUUGUCUCCGGCUGAUGAUGCUUCCGGUCUAUAUCUCAUCCAUGUCCAUGUCAAGGAGCAUCAACUUUGCAUCUGGCUCCACAAGGGGGACAACUGGUUGCUGGUCGAUACCCUUUGUUUGCAUCAGAUGUGGGCUAAUUUGAGGAUGCGAGAUCACACGCUCGAGGACGAGGAUAUUAGUUACGCCUAUAUAAGCCAGGUGGGAGAUAAUGUUCAGUUUGUGUUCUUGAAGACAAUGUGUGGAUGCAUACUCUAUCUGGACGUCACUAGCAGGACACUACAUAAAGUGCAUGGGAUGACAGAAAAGGAUCGACAUUUCAGUGCUAUCUAUCCUUUUAUGAUGAUUUGGCCGCCCAUAUUCCCUGCGCUCAAGGAUGAUCAAGCAAGGCAGGGGAGUUGGGUGGAAAUGGGUCAACCUGAAACUGUAAGCACAUGA